CCUGACUGAGAACCAAACUGGGCAACAUUUCGUCCUGUGAAAUGACACCCAACCUGCUGAGCCAAAGGCAAUUGGGGCUAUUUUAUACCAUUUUAGUUGAUUUUGUUUUCCAUAAGUAUUUUUUCAUAUAAUAUUUCUCCAGUUAACAAGGACCAUUGAGGCCCUGGCUGGUGU